GACGAACGCUGGCGGCGUGCUUAACACAUGCAAGUCGAACGGAAAGGCCCUGCUUUUGUGGGGUGCCCGAGUGGCGAACGGGUGAGUAACACGUGAGUAACCUGCCCUUGACUUUGGGAGAACUUCAGGAAACUGGGGUUAAUACCGUAUAGGAGCUCCUGUUGCAUGGUGGGGGUUGGAAAGUUUCGGCGGUUGGGGUUGGAUUCGCGGCUUAUCAGCUUGUUGGUGGGGGAGUGGUUUACCAAGGCUUUGAAGGGUAGCCGGCCUGAGAGGGUGACCGGCCACAUUGGGACUGAGGUACGGACCAGACUCCUACGGGAGACAGCAGUGGGGAGUAUUGUACAAUGGGCGGAAGCCUGAUGCAGAGACGCCGCGUGCGGGAUGACGGCCUUCGGGUUGUAAACCGCUUUCGCCUGUGACGAAGCGGUAGUGACGGUAAUGGGUGAAGAAGCACCGGCUAACUACGUG
rnacentral:rRNA from 1 species